rnacentral:rRNA from 1 species
ACAGGUAACGGAGGGAGAGGGUAGUCGAGCGGUGAAGGGACUUGCUCCUGGAUCGCGGCGGACGGGUGAGCAAGCCUAGGAUCUGCCUGGUAGUGGGGGAUAACGUCCGGCAACGGGCGCUAAUACCGCAUACGUCCUGAGGGAGAAAGUGGGGGAUCUUCGGACCUCACGCUAUCAGAUGAGCCUAGGUCGGAUUAGCUAGUUGGUGGGGUAAAGGCCUACCAAGGCGACGAUCCGUAACUGGUCUGAGAGGAUGAUCAGUCACACUGGAACUGAGACACGGUCCAUACUCCUACGGGAGGCAGCAGUGGGGAAUAUUGGACAAUGGGCGAAAGCCUGAUCCAGCCAUGCCGCGUGUGUGAAGAAGGUCUUCGGAUUGUAAAGCACUUUAAGUUGGGAGGAAGGGCAGUAAGUUAAUACCUUGCUGUUUUGACGUUACCAACAGAAUAAGACCGGCUAACUUCGUGCCAGCAGCCGCGGUAAUACGAAGGGUGCAAGCGUUAAUCGGAAUUACUGGGCGGAAAGCGCGCGUAGGUGGUUCACCAUGUUGGAUGUGAAAUCCCCGGGCUCAACCUGGGAACUGCAUCCAAAACUACUGAGCUAGAGUACGGUAGAGGGCGGGGGAAUUUCCUGUGUAGCGGUGAAAUGCGUAUAUAUAGGAAGGAACACCAGUGGCGAAGGCCCACCACCUGGACUGAUACUGACACUGUAGGUGCUAAAGCAUGAGGAGCACAUCAGGAUUAGAUACCCUGGUAAGUCCAACGCCGUAAACGAAUGUCCAACUAGACGAUUUGGCGGAAUCCCUUU